rnacentral:rRNA from 1 species
GACGAACGCUGGCGGCGUGCUUAACACAUGCAAGUCGAACGGUAAGGCCCUUCGGGGUACACGAGUGGCGAACGGGUGAGUAACACGUGGGUGAUCUGCCCUGCACUUCGGGAUAAGCCUGGGAAACUGGGUCUAAUACCGGAUAGGACCACUGCCUGCAUGGGUGGUGGUGGAAAGCUUUUGCGGUGGGGGAGGGGCCCGCGGCCUAUCAGCUUGUUGGUGGGGUGAUGGCCACCCAAGGCGACGACGGGUAGCCGGCCUGAGAGGGUGACCGGCCACACUGGGACUGAGAUACGGCACAGACUCCUACGGGAGGCAGCAGUGAGGAAUAUUGCACAAUGGGCGCAAGCCUGAUGCAGCGACGCCGCGUGAGGGAUGACGGCCUUCGGGUUGUAAACCUCUUUCAGCACCGACGAAGCGCAAGUGACGGUAGGUGCAGAAGAAGGACCGGCCAACUACGUGCCAGCCGCCGCCGUAA